UAAUAGUUUAAUGGUAUUAGCUAUUUUAAUUACCAAUUAAUAACUUUUAUUUAACUAGUUAUUUAAUAGUUACAGUGAUAGUUUCAAAAUGUGGUGUACACUUGUUGCUGUAAUUUUAUUUUCCAGUUUAUAUCAAGAAGGUGAGGCGGUGUAUUCAAUAUACCAAGUGCAAAAAAUGAAACGCAAGCUAUUUAAAAUGUGUGUAGACCUAAUUUUUGACGCGAAGUCAAAAAUACAACAUGUUCAUUUCAUUAGGAGAGCAUACCACCACAUGAAGGGGUACGAAUACGGAGCCAUGGUAUACGAUAUACGUCGAAAGUAUAGAAGAAUGUUGAUUAUUCAUAAAAAAAUGGUAAAAGGAAUUUUCAAACCUUUCGAGUAUUACAAGGAGACCAACACCAGUCAAUAUGAAUGGUUCAUGAUAGAAGCGGUACACACUGGAUUCGAAAUCGACAAACUAGUAGAAGCUAUUGAGAUAUUUGAAAAUGAUCCACAUAAAUUCAGAAAGGAAAUAAUUGAUACGAUUAUAACAACAACCACAAGACCGAAAAAGACUUUAAAAAAAACAAUUAAUAAAAAAGGCAAGAAAGGACCGGGUCUCUUGAGAUUUGAUGAUUAUGAAUUCUUCAAACAUGGAAGAUCACUGAAGAAAAACCGAAUUCAGUGGCAAGGGGAAUUAGAUGGGCUGGGAUUUGAUUCGGAAAGGGAAUGAAACAAUGUUAAGUACUUAGACCACCACCACACGCUCUGUCCAUAAAUCACAGGUCCAGGGAUUCAAGACAUACUUAUCUAACUCAAGUACAGAGAUGCAUGCGGGACUUUUUUUACCCCGUGCUUUUCAGAAACUGGUGUGUAUUACCACCGACCUAUAUACAAUGAAGCUUUUCAUGAAAACUUUCAGCCUCCAUAGAAGACAAAAUAAAACCUUUAGUUAACUUUUCUGCUAAAAUAAAAAAAACACAUCUAUAACAUGUUCACCGCAGAAUGUGCAUAUUAUUUUAGAGAAAUACCAACAGUUAGCGAACGGUCUGGGUCCUAGAGAACCAUCCAGACCAGACCUUACCUUUUACCUUGCAAAUAAAUUGAGUAGUAACGAAUUGACGCCUUCAAUUUAUGAAACGAUAAGCCCUCGACUGUGGCGUGGUCCGAAGCGCCGUUCUCCAACUUUGAUAUUGCCCCAAGGAAUCUGCUUUGUUAUCAAGCGAUAUCAUUAUACCCGGCUUCUCCUCGGCCGGAUUAAACUACGUUUAUGUUACAAAGUACCUAAUUGCUCUGUUUGUUGCUUUCUUUAAAGAAGACUUAUUUAUGCACAGCUUA